rnacentral:rRNA from 1 species
UCGUCGGCUCGUGUUGUGAAAUGUUGGGUUAAGUCCCCGCAACGAGCGCAACCCUUAUCCUUUGUUGCCAGCGUUCGGCCGGGAACUCAAAGGAGACUGCCAGUGAUAAACUGGAGGAAGGUGGGGAUGACGUCAAGUCAUCAUGGCCCUUACGAGUAGGGCUACACACGUGCUACAAUGGCGUAUACAAAGAGAAGCGACCUCGCGAGAGCAAGCGGACCUCAUAAAGUGCGUCGUAGUCCGGAUUGGAGUCUGCGACUCGACUCCAUGAAGUCGGAAUCGCUAGUAAUCGUAGAUCAGAAUGCUACGGUGAAUACGUUCCCGGGCCUUGUACACACCGCCCGUCACACCAUGGGAGUGGGUA